rnacentral:rRNA from 1 species
UACGGAGGAUGCAAGCGUUAUCCGGAAUGAUUGGGCGUAAAGCGUCCGCAGGUGGCAAUGUAAGUCUGCUGUCAAAGCGUCUGGCUCAACCAGAUAAAGGCAGUGGAAACUACAUAGCUAGAGUAAGGUAGGGGUAGAGGGAAUUCCUGGUGUAGCGGUGAAAUGCGUAGAGAUCAGGAGGAACACCUGUGGUGUAGACAGCUUACUGGACGAUAACUGACGCUGAGGCACGAAAGCGUGGGUAGCAAACAGG